GUUGCAGGAUUAUAUAUAUACAAAAUAUUUGAAGAAACUAUACAAGAGAUUUUAAUAGUAAAGAUCCAACAAAGCGGCAAAUAGCAGUGGCAACUUACCUUUAUUGAUAAGCUGGCUCUCAGGGCAGGCAAUGAAAAGAAAUUGAUGAGGUACGAUCGGAGUUGACAGAAUGUAUACAAGAUCAUGUUUAUGAGUAGGUGUGCUCAAGUUUAUAUACACUGUGGUAGGUGUUUUGUCCCAGUCUCAAGCCGACAAUCCUUUUUGAUCAGUAUAUCUAGUAAAAGUAAGCAUGCAGAUUGUUGUCUUCGAGGCCAGCUAGCUAUUUUGUGCUUUUUUUGGUUUAAAUUCGAAUGUCACUAUCUACUUUGAAACAUAACUAUUUAGUCUUUGUGUAUAGUUGAAUUCUCCUGUAAAUACUAAUACUUUGUAAUUGAAUUCUAUUGUUUUGGUACGA